AGUAAAUCCUUGGCCAGGAUCCCAUGAAGACUCCAUCAAGCAACAUCGCCAGGAAAUUUUCCAGCACUCGCAGGCUGGGCUCUAACCAAAGUGAUGGUACUGAGAUUGCCAUGAAAUUCGAGCAGUCUGAAUGCCACCUAAAAAGCCCAGUAUAAUCAUGAGAAAAAAACAUCAGAGAAACCCAAACUGAGGGCCAG